ACUAGAUUCUGUUCCGAAAUAUCACUUACUCGAACCGUCCUGACCGCGUAGCUCAGUUGGAAGAGCAUUGGGCUAGUAUUCCAAAGGUCGUGGGUUCGAAUCCCACCGUGGCCGGGCAUAUUUUCAAGCUCGCCCGGUGUGGAUAUGCAAUCAGAGAAACAUCACAAACAUAUUAUUCACCUGAGUACACAACACCAGCACAG
rnacentral:tRNA from 1 species